UUUUUUUCAAAAAUACAGGUUGCUUUUAUGUAUCAUAGGUUGGUAAUAAACAUUUCAUUGUACCAGUUAUGUAAAUUAUAAAUUUGAGGUACAUCAUUUAAGCAGGAUUAAUUCAUGCCUGAGUUACUCAUUAAUGCCAUGGUUAAAAUUAUAUACUUAAAUGUACUCAGAACUCUAGAGAGCACCAUUCUUUGUUUGCAUGCACAAGAAAAUACAUAUAAACUAAUCUAAUCAAGGGUUAUUUAUAGUUCUAAUUGUCAAGUAGGUCUUAUCAACAUGAUUUUUGUCAGGUACCACUUUAUAAAUUCAUUCUAGUUUCUAAAUACCUCUUUCGUUGUUGUUAAAUUGGUUUAACAUAGGCUCAUACCUUAUUUAGUCUUUCUGUGCUAUUUAUCAUAUCUUCUAGCAAAAAGUCCAAAAAAAAAAAAAAAGAGAAUAAUCCACAUAUUAGAAUCACAUUAUUUUGUUUUGGAUCCUGGAAAACAUUCAUUAUAGAAAUAUUCAUUCACCCUGGCUCCCUCAUUUCCUACCUGGAACAUUGGAAAAGGCACUUAACUUCUCUGUACCUCAGUUACCUCACAAAAAAUGAAGCUAAUAAAAGCAGCUCACUAACAAAGUUCUAUGGUAAGGGUAAAAUUAGUCAGCAUAUGUAAAAUAAAGCAAGCAUUAUGUUAGGUGCUGCUACCAUCACUCUUAAUUCCUAUGUGACAUAGAUAUUCCUCAAAAGACAAAAUUAUAUCUAGUACCUCUCUAUAUAGAUACUGUGUAACCUUUUGAUGUCUUAUCACCUCCUACCAGAAAAGAGUAAAAAUGUAAAUUCCAUGGUAAUAAUGUCACAAAUUAAUACUAAGCCUGGACUAUACAUAAAUACCUUAAAAAUGAUAAAAUUCAGCCCAGCAAUCUGAAUAUAAUACACUAUGGGAAGCAUGUUUGUAUUACAGUUAAAAUGUAAGAAAACACACACACACACACACACAAAACAAAAAUGAAACCUAUGAUGUGUUGCUUAACAUUUGAUGGAUUCCAUCUUGGGUGACUUAUUUUAACUUUGGAUGAAACAUGGGGUCUAAUUUCAAAUCUAGUCAUUGAAAAAAAUCUUAGUAGGACUUUAAUCAGGUUUAAGUUAUGAUAGUAGCCAUGGAAAGUGAGGAUGUAAACACAUUCUGACAGAAUAGAAACAUGAGAUUAUUCCUUUUAAGAGAAUUGCAUCUCUUUCCCUUAAAGGACAUUAAAAACUUCAACAAUUAUUUCUUUAGGAGGCAUUACUCUCCCCACAACUCCAUCACAGUUUUCCUUUAGACAAGUUCACAUUCCACUUUUUACAGGGACAUUUAUCUCUGUAAAAAAUAUGGGAUAUGUUAUGGCACUGUUGUUACACUGGACAGAUCAGCUCCUUGAAAGGGUCAAUGAUUUUCCUGUCAGACAUAAUUAUACACAGAGAGAUACAGGGAUCCGAGAAUGUAUGUCACAAGCAGAUAAUCUUUGCUUUGGGAGAAUCUUCAGGAGGCAAAGAGAUCUGAAUGCUUAUGGGGUAGAUCAAGUAGUAAGCUGAGACAAGGAGAAUCAGAGGUCUGGUGGGCCAUGGCUGGAAUGGUUCUGUGAAGAAAGCGUAGAAGAGACAGUGGAUAGAGAAGCAAUAGACAGGAGAGAAGAACACAGAUAAGCAAAGGUAAAAAACAACACACAGAGAAUCUUUAAGACAACUCAGAGUAUCAAUAACAUAAGAUUUUACACUUCUAUGAAAUAUACGCUAUGAUUCAUAACCUCAGAAAAUUAAACACUGGAAUGUUUCAUUCCUCUUCUGCAGAUAAUUAAAUACUGUGAAAUUAUUUGUAUCCUCUAUCCAUACAUUUGCCAUUGCUCUAUUGAAUAGAAGUGGUCUUACUUUUAAUGAACAUCUUAUGUUAAAAUGAUCACUUAUCCUCAUACUAUCUUGAUACAUAGCUUAAAAAUAAAAAAAAAAGAUAUAGAAGAACUGACUUUAUGAAAACAAAAUGAAUAAAAAGAACUAAUGAGGAGUUCCCAUCGAUGAUGGCUUUUAAUUUGCUUAAUAUACCAGAGCAGAGGAAUACUGUUAUUCAAAUUCAAAAUAGUUCUUCAGAAAUCUAGGUCUUGUUUACAAUCUUCCAUUUUCUACAUGUGGAUUGUGUUAUUAGUUUUUGACUAAGAGCCUGGUAGCUAAUACAUAAGAAAGCACUCAAUAAAUCACUGAUGAAGAAAUGGAAAGCUAAUUAGUCUUCUUGGAGUUCACAAGGAAAUAAACCCAACAUCAGCUAAUGACAGUUCUAUAGGUAUUUCAUAUUGUGGCUGUCAACUCUGACUAAAUACUAGGACACUUGGUAGAAGUUUUGGUAAAAUAUCAGUGAUGAAAAAGCCACAGACAAAUUCUGAAAUGGAAGAUCUAACUUAGAAGUGAAGACAUCUAUAUUUUUACCUAUAUAAUCGAUGAUUCUAAAAUAUUGCAAUUUGAGAACCACUUUCAUUGACAACCAUUUGUUCCUAGAUGAGGAUCUAGAUAGACAUGCCCCAUGAGUAUAGGAAUCUAUCAUUUAUUCCACCAUGUUCAAAAUACCUAUCUCUAAUUGGAGGCAGAUUCUGCCUCAUAUGAUCAGCAAUUACGUUUAGUAUAUGCACAUACUUAAAAUGGAAAAAAAUGUUACUGCACUAUUGUAGUAUAGAACUGUUCCAUAUUAUAAACUCUCAGUCUAGUUUUGUAAUAAUAUAUAAUUAACAUUCAUGAGUUCACCUUAAGUUCUUACAUCACACUGCUAUUUUGCUAACUCAUAAAUUAUAAAGAAUUUAGGAAAUAAAUUUACAGGAGCUAAAUCAAAGGUAAUCCUAUCAUUUCUAUCCCUCCCUCAAUUAGAUGUAGAAUUUGAUGUCAAAAUAUGUGAAACCAAAUGCAUUCUCUUCCUUCCCCAAUCCUCAACAAAAUAAUUAUGAAAGAAAAGAAAACCAUUUUCUAGUUUAGGGGAAGUAUAUUUACAACUUGCCAGCUUGUGCCACUGCUGCUGAAUCUCUCCCCAUACUUUAUUUUUCCAAGAUUUGAUCUCUAUGAUAUUUGAAGGCUCUUCCCUGCCUUUCUGAAUCUCCCCUUCUUUUCCAGUAUGUAUAGCAGCUACAUAGCAAUUCCUCCCUCUAUGUGAACAUCUGUUGGGAUUUAUGGCUUGCCCCAUUGCAUAUGUUCUACAGAACCAAAUCAGCCCUGGUCAACUCAGUCUCAGAGUAUUUCAAUCAGGCCACUACAUUUUAAAAUGCUUAAAAAAAAAAAAAAAAGCCAGAUACCACAUACUAAGUUUUAACAUUUCCAUCACAGAAAGCAUUUCAUUCCCUUCUAUUUCUAGUGCCUCAAUCAGAAUCUGUCAUCUAGUUGGCUAACAUCAAAUAUUUGUUGAAUAAGCAGAUAUAUUAAGAUGAUGGUUAGGGUACAAUAAAUACAGAGAACAUAUUAUUUGUUCUGAUUCAUAA
rnacentral:lncRNA from 1 species